UCCUGGCCCAACAAGUUUCCUCAGUGCCGUGCUUGUGGCUUUGCACAGCCUAAGCUAUAGGAUUUCUUUGCAGCAUGGUUUUCUUGACAUUUUGGCCCUUGUGGACAGUCCUUGGCCUCAGGAGUAGCUGCUAGCCUCUUGCCCAACCAUCCCACUCUGGGCCACUCUUCUUCCCUUUCAGUAUGCAUGAGUAACUCCCACGAAUGUAAAUAAAAGUUAUGUGCACGCAUCAAGGGGAAAUGGAUCCAUUUGUCAUGGCUCCAGACAAGCAGCAUCUCCCCAAGGAGCUACUUACGAGGCUAUUGAGAAGCCAGCAGCAACGCGUGAUAGGCUGCACCUUCUUCCAUGUGUGUUGCAGAAAUUAUUGGCAUGUUGCUGAUGUUUACGGCGAACAAAUAGUUUAUUUCUGGGCUAAGAAAGAUUUCAAUGUAAAUACUCAACUGGCAGCUAGCUGGAAGUUUGCCACUUGAAGUUAAAAGGCCCAUGACCAAUGGUGUCAGAUUAACAUUUCCAAGUUGGACAAUGUACAAAUGGUGUUCUUGGACUGGAAUAGAAAUAGAUGAAAGUGGUCUGCUGCAGUGCAAAUAACAAACUGGCAACCAGCUGGUCAUUGGAAAGAGAACAUACUAUGGGAAUAUGCUUUCUGCAGAAAUACUUUAUUUUGGAGAUAAGCAUUAACAAUAGGAAGAUGAGGCUCAUUUAACAAGAACCAUAUGGUCUCAUCCUGCUUUUAUUUCACUCAGUAGCAAAGCUCUGAUGAUCUUUUGUGUGUGCAAGAUAGGGGUUGCUGUUAAUAAAUAAGCAAAACAGAUUCAAGCUAGUCGUUUGGAAUUAAAAAGAAACAGUAAUGCUUGAUCUACUGUUGCCUUUUAAAAGGUAUGAAGGGGAUAGUUUUAAUCCACAAAAUGCUAUUUCAGGAGACCGUAACUGAAAGGAAGUGGAAUUAAAGGUGUUUGUUGGAAAACAACUUCUGAUAAAGUAAGACUAAGAUCCACUCAAGACUGAGUUAUGAACCAGUGUGAAACCAAUACAGAAAUUUCUCCAAGCUAAUUUGUGGCUGGGUUCAUUCCAUAAAAAAGUUUGUAUUUUUCAGGAGAGACGACAACACCCCUUUUUAAAGCAGUUUUAACUACACCAUUUAUUCUACUAGCAACUUAAUCAGAGUGGCUAAACUUUGUUAUUUUGGUUGCAAGAAGACAG
rnacentral:lncRNA from 1 species